AGACUUUUAAGAACCUCACUGAAAACAGUCAGAACAAGAAGCCACAAACCCACCUUCUCAUAAAACCCUUCUCCAUAUUUUAUAUAUUAGUGUUCAUUUCUGUGCUACUAGUUUGAGUUGUUUUACAACCUGCAUGCCAGAAGAUAAACCAGCUCAUUAGUCUAGCUUUGUGACUGUGGAAGCAGAGCAGUGGCAUGCAGUUGCAGAUACACUCUAGCACAAGAUGGAGCAUACAUUGAAAACCUGUGGAGUAACAGCAUGAGACUACAGCUGGACAGCCUCUGCUUUUUAUUAAUUUCCUUGGAUCCUUUGGCACGAAGCCCUCAAUUCCUGUGAUGUAAUGGUAUAAAAAGCUGGCUCCUGCCUGAGCUUCCACCCACAAGUUCUAAAUUUGGAGCAUGGCAAAUUUCUGCAAAUUCCAGAGACAG
rnacentral:lncRNA from 14 species